GAUGAACGUUGGCGGCGUGCCUAAUACAUGCAAGUCGAACGAAGACUGUAGUAAUACUGUCUUAGUGGCGAACGGGUGAGUAACGCGUGGGUGACCUGCCCCGAAGUGUGGGAUAACAGUCCGAAAGGAUUGCUAAUACUGCAUAAUAUCCAAGAGAUUAGAUGCUUUUGGAUUAAAGGAGUAAUUCGCUUCGGGAGGGGCCCGCGUCCCAUCAGCUAGUUGGUAAGGUAAUGGCUUACCAAGGCGAUGACGGGUAGAGGACCUGAGAGGGUGGCCCCCCACAAUGGAACUGAAACACGGUCCAUACACCUACGGGUGGCAGCAGUAGGGAAUAUUAGUAAUGGGCGAAAGCCUGAGCUAGCAACGCCGCGUGUGCGAAGAAGGCCUUCGGGUCGUAAAGCACUUUUUGAGAGGAUGAGGAAGGACGGUACUCUCAGAAUAAGUCUCGGCUAACUACGUG
rnacentral:rRNA from 1 species